CAGUAGCCGCGGGAAUACAGAGGGUGCGAGCGUUAAUCGGAUUUACUGGGCGUAAAGCGUGCGUAGGCGGCUAAUUGAGUCGGAUGUGAAAUCCCCGAGCUUAACUUGGGAAUUGCAUUCGAUACUGGUUAGCUAGAGUAUGGGAGAGGAUGGUAGAAUUCCAGGUGUAGCGGUGAAAUGCGUAGAGAUCUGGAGGAAUACCGAUGGCGAAGGCAGCCAUCUGGCCUAAUACUGACGCUGAGGUACGAAAGCAUGGGGAGCAAACAGGAUUAGAUACCCGGGUAGUCCCUGUCUCUUAUAC
rnacentral:rRNA from 1 species